GGCAACUCUUCAAGACUCCAACAUUUACCUAGUAGUAGAACUUGCAAGCUUUGCAGGUUACAUAUGGAAUUAGGGAGUCUUCUAAUUAAACCAUUACCAAAUAAACUAAGAUAUUUCAAAUGCUUCAAAUCACCUAUACUUGUUGGCAGCACUUCAAACCUUGAAUAAGUUAAAUCCAAGACUCUCAUGUACUGAAAUCUUGAGACACACUUUUUAAUGAACACUUCACUACUAAUCCCCUCAUGUCUAUCAUUUAAAGACCAAAUGGUUCGCACACGAUCUAGGUUUUGUAAGGAUUCAGGAAGAACAUUUGGAAGUAAUUCAGGAUGAGGAAAAGAUAUAUGUCGAACACU
rnacentral:misc_RNA from 1 species